rnacentral:misc_RNA from 1 species
GAUGAAGAACGUAGUGAAAUGCGAUAAGUAAUGUGAAUUGCAGAAUUCAGUGAAUCAUCGAAUCUUUGAACGCACACUGCGCCCGCCAGUAUUCUGGCGGGCAUGCCUGUUCGAGCGUCAUUUCAACCAUCAAGCCCCAGGCUUGUGUUGGGGACCUGCGGCUGCCGCAGGCCCUGAAAACCAGUGGCGGGCUCGCUGUCACACCGGGCGUAGUAGAUUUUAUCUCGCUCUGGGCGUGCUGCGGGUUCCGGCCGUUAAAAAACCCUUUUAACCCAAGGUUGACCUCGGAUCAGGUAGGAAUACCCGCUGAACUUAAGCAUAUCAAUAAGCGGAGGA